GACGAACGCUGGCGGCGUGCCUAAUACAUGCAAGUAGAACGCUGAAGGAGGAGCUUGCUUCUCUGGAUGAGUUGCGAACGGGUGAGUAACGCGUAGGUAACCUGCCUGGUAGCGGGGGAUAACUAUUGGAAACGAUAGCUAAUACCGCAUAAGAGUAGAUGUUGCAUGACAUUUGCUUAAAAGGUGCAAUUGCAUCACUACCAGAUGGACCUGCGUUGUAUUAGCUAGUUGGUGGGGUAACGGCUUACCAAGGCGACGAUACAUAGCCGACCUGAGAGGGGGAUCGGCCACCCUGGGACUGAGACACGGCCCAGACUCCUACGGGAGGCAGCAGUAGGGAAUCUUCGGCAAUGGACGGAAGUCUGACCGAGCAACGCCGCGGGAGUGAAGAAGGUUUUCGGAUCGUAAAGCUCUGUUGUAAGAGAAGAACGAGUGUGAGAGUGGAAAGUUCACACUGUGACGGUAUCUUACCAGAAAGGGACGGCUAACUACGUG
rnacentral:rRNA from 1 species